rnacentral:rRNA from 1 species
UACGAAGGGGGCUAGCGUUGUUCGGAAUCACUGGGCGUAAAGCGUAUGCAGGCGGACCGUUAAGUCGGGGGUGAAAUCCCAGGGCUCAACCCUGGAACUGCCUUCGAUACUGGCGGCCUUCGAGUCCGGGAGAGGUGAGUGGAACUCCGAGUGUAGAGGUGAAAUUCGUAGAUAUUCGGAAGAACACCAGUGGCGAAGGCGGCUCACUGGCCCGGUACUGACGUUGAGGCACGAAAGCGUGGGGAGCAAACAGG